UGUCAACAUCACGAGAAAGACAACUUGGGUACAUUUGAAAGAACUUACUGAAAUGGACUUUUUACGGUGACUUUUAAAAGGUGAAAAGAGGACUGGAGAUACAAAAGAGAAAAAAAAAACAGAAGUGGGACUGAAGAAGAGAGGAAGAUUAAAGAAAAAAAAGAAGACUCUGAACGUCUGAAGGCGCUUGACAAAGGCCUGAUCUAGGAGACCAGCCAUGGAGGAGGAUUACAAGAGACCACCACCAUCCUAUGAAGAAGUUAUUACCGAGCAGCACACGAGCAACACUAAUCAGAGCCGCUCUGCUGAUAACAAGCAGGGCAGCUGCUGCAGAUGUUGCAUUAGCACCAAGAACUGUCUGAUGAGUCCAGAGUGCGGCCGAGCUCUUAACAUCGCCAGCGUCGUUGCCAUGUGUGGCAUGUGUAUUCGAAUGUUUGUCUAACACAGUCUCCUGUGGACCAUCUACUCCAGAUCUCUCAUCCAGUGGUGGCCUUCUCAAAUUAAAAAGGAAACAAAGACAUUUGCUCUGUUCCAAAACCUAGUGAUCUGCAACAUUUAUAAGCUUUCCCCCAAUACAAAUCCCAAUGCUGAUCCAAAUAGGAUGCAGCACUGCAUUUAUCAUUCACAGAUAAGGUAAUCCCAGGACGAACUGACAAAAAUUUCCAUUUGAAAUAGGAAACAUCAAGUGCAAAGUAUAACUUAUAAAUACAAAGGAUAUUUAACUCAGUACUGACAAAUAUCAUUGAAAAACACUGCCAAGUCAUACCAUCUAGUCUCCUGUGUGAUUCAUGGGCCUCAUUCAUGAAAAAGUAGCACAAUAAAUUCAAAAAUCGUUUGUAAAAUCAUUGCUGUAUUAAGUGUGGCAUUUAAUUAAAUUGGCAUGAAUGACCACUUAAGGUGAGGUCACAUUUAUCAUUGUUAGAUGAAACAGACGAGUAAUUUCAAUAGGGAUCCAAGUUAUAAGGAAUUUAUUAGAGAGCAAAAUAUUUCCCCAGGCAGAUUUCAGUUAAAGUCGGUAACACAAAUUCAUUGUGUUGACCAACAGAAAGUUGUUUGGUUUGAAAGUGAAUUCUGUAGUGAAUCCUGUAGUUGUGACAGACUUUUUUUGUCUGCAAAAUUUCGCUAAUGUGACUGCACCUUCACAGUAUGUAAUUCCAUUUUGAAAGACAGUAGUGUUAAAUAGUUGUACUAAUAUUUUCUCUCUAAUCCAAGUCACCUUUGUUUAUAUAGAGCUUUAUACAAUAUACUUUGCACAAUACUAAACAGGAAAGAAACAGAAUCAGUGAUGCAAACUUCAAAUAACAUGAGGCAAUCCAAAUUUUGCUGUAAAGCAGCUCUAACAAGACACUCCAGAACCUAAAAUAGUUGCAGUCAUUUGGAAAUGUUAAUUAAGCUCAUGAUUUUUUCUUUCAUAAAUUGGAGCCAGUCCUGUAAUUGGAUGUGGCAUCCACCUUAAUUAUGUAUCAGGCUAUCAAAACUUUGCAUUUAUCAUUAACACUUCUUCUAAAACUUCUUGUGCGGAAAUCUAAUUUAUAAUACUGGAUAAUGUUUGAAAUGAUGUGCAACAGACAGACCAAGGCUAAUAAAUCACAAUGCUAGAUUAUUUUCCAAAUUUGAUGUUUUUUUUGUUUUUGCUUUAAGACUGUAAAAUAUUAAACCUGUAGACUGAGAAUGUGUAAAUAAGGAUCUUCUCCACUGUGGAUAUAACGCCAUCUGUCUUAUAGCGGUACGUAAACAAAAAGCCUUACUUUAAUGCAGAGUGUUUUACCUACAGGAGUAAAAUAUUCAUCCAGCUAAAAAUAGAUGAACUCUACACUCAAAUAUGUAAAAUAAUAAAGAUAUCUGACAUUAGCAAAUAAGGAUGAAUAUGGAGUCUUUAUUUUUUGUCAUUUUUAAUAGCAUUUGCAGCAUAAUCAGAUGAUAAUUGUCUCAAAGAAAAAAAAAAGUGUUUUUAAUAUUUUUUAAUCAUUAAGAGAGAAUAAUUUAUGAUGGCCAUUUGGGAUUAAGAUGACAUGGUUGCUGCACUGAAAUUUUUUUAUCUCCUAAUUAUACCCUGGAUAUUUGGUGUGUCAAGAAUCAAAGGUCAAGCAUUUCUCCGGGGCUUAUAAUUAUUCAGGUUUUCUCUGGCUGCUCUCGCUCACUGGCCCACUUUUCAAUGCACGAGCAACAACACAAGAUGUAAUCAGUCUGAAGGAUCCAAGUACAGUGUUUUAGUCCAUGUUCCAAAUCACAAACAUAAUACUGGAAUCAGAAUCCAUCAGAGUAAUGAAGGUAAUCCAAUACCAUAAUCAAAACACACAGGCAGAUAUUCAGUGAACAACAGAACAAAUCACACAUACAAACUACUCCGGAUGAAAUACACAUGAGAGCCUUGAACAAAAAGAGCAAGAACAAAAAGAACAGAUGGCUUUAUAUAUGCUGAGCAAAGCAAGGCACAUCUGUAACCACAACACAAUGGAGCGAAACAGUAGCUUGUGCAAUACAUACUGCCUACUGUAAUAUGUGAAACAGAAACAUUUUAAACACUCAUUACAUGGCAUGUUUUGAUUAUAGCCAACAGUGAGCAACAUGUGUGUAACACCGAUCUUUAAACUCAAUUUCUUAGCUUUAUACGCUUGAGAUCGUAUAAGAGAAGCAAAAUAAAUUAUUUUUUUAUUGUUUUGGAUUUGUUAUUAUCCAAGUCAGAUAUUGUCUGAGUUCUUUAAUAAAUUCUUUACCUUCACUCUCAGUGUGUGAUUUUUGAUUCUCUCUGUCCAGCAGAGGUGAGUGGAAGGUGAUUCUUCUGCUGUUCUACACAUUGUUCUACACAUGACCUGUCAAUCACUGCAUCUAUUCCCAAUCAGGCAGUAUUGGGCAACACUUUGAGUUCUCUGGAAAGUGGAAAAAGUGCACGCACAAGAUCUAUGAAUUUCUAUUGCUAAUAUAUUAUUACACAGUUCCACAGCCAGUGGUGGGUAUUGAUUUCAAGAUGGAGCCUCGGCAGAUCAGUGCAUAUGAAUGAAGUGUAACUACUAGAUUGAUAGUCUUCUAUAAACAUUGUUAUGUUCUUGAAGCCCUGGAUGACACAUCAAACAACUGCCCUUGUGAUACACGCCCUCGAAAAAAUGUAGCAGUACUUUAAUACUGCGCCCUCAAAAAGUAUUUGGAAAUGAAACUUCAAAUGUAUGAAUGGCACUGAU